rnacentral:rRNA from 1 species
UACGUAGGGGGCAAGCGUUGUCCGGAAUCAUUGGGCGUAAAGCGCGUGUAGGCGGCUCGAUAAGUCUGCUGUGAAAGUUCGGGGCUCAACCCUGAAAUGCCGGUGGAAACUGUCGAGCUAGAGUACGGAAGAGGUGAGUGGAAUUCCCGGUGUAGCAGUGAAAUGCGUAGAGAUCGGGAGGAACAUCAGUUGCGAAGGCGGCUCUCUGGACCAGCACUGACACUGAGGCACGAAAGCGUGGGGAGCAAACAGG